UGGGGAAUAUUGCACAAUGGGCGCAAGCCUGAUGCAGCCAUGCCGCGUGUGUGAAGAAGGCCUUCGGGUUGUAAAGCACUUUCAGCGGGGAGGAAGGCGUUAAGGUUAAUAACCUUGGCGAUUGACGUUACCCGCAGAAGAAGCACCGGCUAACUCCGUGCCAGCAGCCGCGGUAAUACGGAGGGUGCAAGCGUUAAUCGGAAUUACUGGGCGUAAAGCGCACGCAGGCGGUCUGUCAAGCCGGAUGUGAAAUCCCCGGGCUCAACCUGGGAACUGCAUUCGAAACUGGCAGGCUAGAGUCUUGUAGAGGGGGGUAGAAUUCCAGGUGUAGCGGUGAAAUGCGUAGAGAUCUGGAGGAAUACCGGUGGCGAAGGCGGCCCCCUGGACAAAGACUGACGCUCAGGUGCGAAAGCGUGGGGAGCAAACAGG
rnacentral:rRNA from 1 species